CAAGGAGCCGGGGUCGCCCGAUCGGACCCCGGACGUGAAGUCGACGAUGGUCGGUGGGCUGGUUUUGGUAAGCAGAACGGGCGAUUCGGGAUGAACCGGAAGCGGGAGAAAGGGCCCGAGAUUGCGUCGACGCGGAUCCCGAAAAGGGCGUCGAUCCGUCGCGACAGCGGGACGGUGGUCAUGGAAGUCGAAAUCCGCUAAGAAGCGUGUAAAAACGUACCCGCCCAACGGAUCGGCCCCGAAAAUUGAUGGCGCUCGAACGCAACCCUCGAACCCCGCCGACGGAGGCUAGGGGAGGCCCCGUCGAGUAGGCGGACGCGCGGGUCGCUUCGACGCUCCCGCGCGAGCGGGGGCGGAGCGGCCCGUGGUGCACAUCUUGGUGGUAGUAGCGAUCACCCAGGCGAGAACCCUGAGGGCCGAAGUGGAGAAGGGUUUCUCGAGAACGGCAC
rnacentral:rRNA from 1 species